GAAACCCCUCAUCAUGAAGCACUGGAGCUCUUGAGUUUGAGAUGAACGCACUGGAGGAAACCCUGAGGGAAUGAUUAAUUAAAUGAACCCUACAUGCCUCAAUUCAAGCCCUGCGAGAAGACAGAACUUGAGUGCAUAUUUUCUGUUUAACACCCAGCACGUCUCACAGCUUCAACAGUAUUUCUCUGGAAAUCUCAAUGGAUUUUUCUUUGGAGUUGAGUUUCCUGUAUUUAGACAGAGAAGAGAAGAACAUGUGCUUUGGAUGGUCUGGAUAUGUAAUGUACUGUUACCUGUGAAAGGCCACUAACUAUUCAGGAACAAACCCUAACAUCUCAAGCCAGUUCGAAUUACCGCAUCAGAAUUUAUAGUGGCUAAAAGCCACUCCCUCUAAGCUGGAUCCUGUGUAGGCGAUAUUGGGUUGCCAUUGAAAUUGUUUUAUCAGUUCCUCCGG
ensembl:lncRNA